rnacentral:other from 1 species
AGAGUCCUGAUGUGUACGUUACUUUAACCUAUAAGUUUUGACCGAACACUUAUAGUUUUGGGAACUCGGACGUUUCGUCGAUGCGUAAAUGCCUCAUUCGUUGUGGACUUACUAAGCGAUGAACAGAGCACCCACCUGCGGAGAGCGGGUUCAAAACAAAGGCGAACGACGGCAUAAUUGGGACUCUU